rnacentral:rRNA from 1 species
UACGAAGGGUGCAAGCGUUACUCGGAAUCACUGGGCGUAAAGCGUGCGUAGGCGGUUGGUUAAGUCUGCUGUGAAAGCCCUGGGCUCAACCUGGGAACUGCAGUGGAUACUGGCUAGCUAGAGUGUGAUAGAGGAUGGUGGAAUUCCCGGUGUAGCGGUGAAAUGCGUAGAGAUCGGGAGGAACAUCAGUGGCGAAGGCGGCCACCUGGACCAGCACUGACACUGAGGCACGAAAGCGUGGGGAGCAAACAGG